GGCCAUGUCUACAUCUAAAGUUUUGCAGCGCUGGUUGUUACAGCUGUAUUAGUACAGCUGUAUAGGGCCAGCGCUGCAGAGUGGCCACACUUACAGCAACCAGCGCUGCAAGUGGUGUUAGAUGUGGCCACACUGCAGCGCUGUUGGGCGGCUUCAAGGGGGGUUCCGGGAACGCGAGAGCAAACCGGGAAAGGAGACCCGCUUCGCCGCGGUUUGCUCUCUCGUUCCCGGAGCCACCCAGCAAACCGCAGGGAAGGAGACCUGCUUGCUCGGGGCUCCGGGAACGAGAGAGCAAACCGGGAAAGGAGACCCGCUUCGCCGCGGUUUGCUCUCUCGUUCCCGGAGCCACCCAGCAAACCGCAGGGAAGGAGACCUGCUUGCUCGGGGCUCCGGGAACGAGAGAGCAAACCGGGAAAGGAGACCCGCUUCGCCGCGGUUUGCUCUCUCGUUCCCGGAGCCACCCAGCAAACCGCAGGGAAGGAGACCUGCUUGCUCGGGGCUCCGGGAACGAGAGAGCAAACCGGGAAAGGAGACCAGCUUGAUUACCAGAGGCUUCCUCCUUCCACGGAGGUCAAGAAAAGCACUGGUAAGUGUCUACAUUGGAUUACCAGCGCUGGAUCACCAGCGCUGGAUCCUCUACACCCGAGACAAAACGGGAGUACGGCCAGCGCUGCAAACAGGGAGUUGCAGCGCUGGUGGUGCCCUGCAGAUGUGUACACCUUCAAAGUUGCAGUGCUGUAACUCCCUCACCAGCGCUGCAACUUUCUGAUGUAGACAAGCCCUUAG